AGUCGAGGGGUAACAGGGAGCUUCGGUUCCGCUGACGACCGGCGCACGGGUGCGUAACGCGUAUGAAACCUGCCUUAUACUGGGGGAUAGCCCGAAGAAAUUCGGAUAAUACCCCAUAAUAUAAUUGAUUGGCAUCAAUUAAUUAUUAAAACUCCGGUGGUAUAAGAUGGUCAUGCGUGACAUUAGCUAGUUGGUGAGGUAACGGCUCACCAAGGCGACGAUGUCUAGGGGUUCUGAGAGGAAGGUCCCCCACACUGGUACUGAGACACGGACCAGACUCCUACGGGAGGCAGCAGUGAGGAAUAUUGGUCAAUGGACGCAAGUCUGAACCAGCCAUGUCGCGUGCGGGAAGACUGCCCUAUGGGUUGUAAACUGCUUUUAUACGGGAAGAAUUGUAGCUACGUGUAGUUAUUUGCCGGUACCGUAUGAAUAAGCAUCGGCUAACUCCGUGCCAGCAGCCGCGGUAAUAC
rnacentral:rRNA from 1 species